UACUCUUGCGUAGGUAUUGGAUUGUCCCUUUGAGAGGAAAUGGAAGAAUGACAUUGAUGAUCUUGAGUUCGUUGGAGCAUAGCAGAUUGUACGGCACCUGCCGGCCCGGGAAUGAGGCGUUGAGGCGGCGAUUGUAACUGAUUAUGAGAACUUUGUAGUUGUGAGGAUUCUGGAGUUCGAGAAGGCGGCGUGAGAAGCGCCGG
rnacentral:misc_RNA from 1 species